rnacentral:rRNA from 1 species
GACGGGGGAUGCAAGUGUUAUCCGGAAUCACUGGGCGUAAAGCGUCUGCAGGUGGUUUCCUAAGUCCACUGUUAAACCUUGAGGCUCAACCUCAAAUCUGCAUUGGAACUAGGAGACUUGAGUAUAGUAGGGGUAGAGGGAAUUUCCAGUGGAGCGGUGAAAUGCGUAGAUAUUGGAAAGAACACCGAUGGCGAAGGCACUCUACUGGGCUAUUACUGACACUCAGAGACGAAAGCUAGGGGAGCAAAUGGG